AAGCAUAUUAAUAAGCGGAGGAAAAGAAACUAACAAGGAUUCCCUCAGUAACGGCGAGUGAAGCGGGAAGAGCUCAAAUUUGAAAUCUCCGAUGCCUGCAUCGGCGAGUUGUAGUUGCGAGAAGCACUUUCUAGGCGGAUCGGUGGUGCCUAAGUUGCUUGGAACAGCACGUCACAGAGGGUGACAACCCCGUCUGUGGCGCCGCCGGCCGCCCACGAUGUGCUUUCCAAGAGUCGGGUUGUUUGGGAAUGCAGCCCAAAAUGGGUGGUAAACUCCAUCUAAAGCUAAAUACUGGCGUGAGACCGAUAGCGAACAAGUACCGUGAGGGAAAGAUGAAAAGAACUUUGAAAAGAGAGUUAAAAAGUACGUGAAACCGUUGAAAGGGAAACGAAUGGGCUCAGCAAUGCACCCUUUGAGAUUCAGCCGGUGGGUGGCACAUCGGCGCGGGGUUUGCGGAUCUGAAUGGACCGCGGCCUCGCGCUCGUUUCCCCUCGCCGUCGCACUUCUCUCGGGCGCGCGUCAACGUCGGUUGGGACUGGGUCUGAAAGGUGCCGGGAAGGUAGGUGUGGGCCUCCGGGUCCGUGCUGUUACAGCCCGGUCUUCUCAUGGCCCGGGCCCGACCGAGGAGUUGCAGGGCAUGCCUCUCGUGGCUAGGGUCCCGUCCUUCCGGCCGGUUGUCCAGUGCCUUGGACUGCUUGCAGUGCUGGGCGAACGCUGCCGGUCGUUGGGGUGGUGAUCUCGUACCAUGCCCUUAGGAUGUUGGCGGUCAUAUGG
rnacentral:rRNA from 1 species